CAGCUAUGAUGAAAAAAUCGUGUGCCAGAGAUGUGGGCUUUGUUCUCCAUCGCUGACGGUUAAACACAUCCCUCUAAGAAGUUCUGAGCUC
rfam:Brassica rapa chromosome A3, whole genome shotgun sequence.